GAUCAGCCAUGCUACGGUGAAUACGUUCCCGGGUCUUGUACUCACCGCCCGUCACACCAUGGGAGUUGAUUUCACUCGAAGCCGGAAUACUAAACUAGUUACCGUCCACAGUGGAAUCAGCGACUGGGGUGAAGUCGUAACAAGGUAACCGUAGGAGAACCUGCGGUUGGAUCACCUCCUUUCUAG
rnacentral:rRNA from 1 species